CGGGUGAGGAACACGUGAGCAACCUGUCCCAAAGACUGGGAUAACAGUGGGAAACCGCUGCUAAUACCGGAUACCCUUUUUGAGUCGCAUGGCUCCCUAAGGAAAGCCUUUACGCUUUGGGAGGGGCUCGCGGCCUAUCAGCUUGUUGGUGAGGUAAUGGCUCACCAAGGCUUCGACGGGUAGCUGGUCUGAGAGGACGACCAGCCACACUGGGACUGAGAUACGGCCCAG
rnacentral:rRNA from 1 species